GUAAUACAAUGCACUGUAGAACAUCUGUCUUGUAUGCAGAAGGCCCCAGGUUCAAUCCCUGGCAUCUCCA